rnacentral:rRNA from 1 species
UACGAAGGGGGCUAGCGUUGCUCGGAAUGACUGGGCGUAAAGGGCGCGUAGGCGGAUGGCACAGUCAGAUGUGAAAUUCCUGGGCUUAACCUGGGGGCUGCAUUUGAUACGUGUGAUCUAGAGUGAGGAAGAGGGUUGUGGAAUUCCCAGUGUAGAGGUGAAAUUCGUAGAUAUUGGGAAGAACACCGGUGGCGAAGGCGGCGGCCUGGUCCUUAACUGACGCUGAGGCGCGAAAGCGUGGGGAGCAAACAGG